AUCACUUCUCAGCCUUUUGGCUAAGAUCAAGUGUAGUAUCUGUUCUUAUCAGUUUAAUAUCUGAUACGUCCUUGAUGAGAGGACCUUAUAUUAAACAGAUUUUGGGGCAUGGGAGUUGUAUCUGGAGCUUGCUCCCUCCACUUUGUGCAUUGUCCAGGUAUUGCAGUGCCUCCAGGAAUGGUACAAAUUUU